UACGAAGGGGGCGAGCGUUGUUCGGAAUCACUGGGCGUAAAGGGCGCGUAGGCGGCCCUCCUAGUCGCGUGUGAAAUCCCCGGGCUUAACCUGGGAACUGCAUUGGUGACUGGCAGGCUUUGAGUGUGGCAGAGGGAGGUAGAAUUCCACGUGUAGCAGUGAAAUGCGUAGAGAUGUGGAGGAAUACCGAUGGCGAAGGCAGCCUCCUGGGCCAACACUGACGCUCAUGCACGAAAGCGUGGGGAGCAAACAGG
rnacentral:rRNA from 1 species